rnacentral:sRNA from 12 species
CGUCCGGUUUUCGGCGGAAAAUGUUUUUAAGGGCUAGAUAGAAUAAAUACAUUUAAGAUGAUACACUUCAGACCUGAAAGACGGUUGACAAAAGUAUCCGCACCCUGCCAACGGGUUACUAGGCAGGAGGGCGAAAGUGGGUAUAAGUGAGGUGCUAGACCCCCAAAAAGUCCCCCCGAAAGGGACACAUCUACGGACUAUUAUAGUCUAUGAUGAACGACACCAAGAGUUGGCUGAUAGCGACGUGAUGAGGACACGAACAAGACCCGAAAGGGUAGCAGGUAGGGCACGCAGACGCCUGCAAAAAGUUCGUUCAAAACUUGAAAUAGUUUUGAAGUUGUAACCC